rnacentral:rRNA from 1 species
AUGGCUCCGAUGCUCAAGCGUAUCGUGGAGGACGAGCCCAAGAAGGAGGCGUACGUGACUUUCCUCGCCGGCUCCGGCGACUACUGGAAGGGCGUGGUGGGCCUGGCCAAGGGCCUCCGCGCCGUCAACUCCGCCUACCCACUCGUGGUGGCCGUGCUCCCCGACGUCCCCGAGGACCACCGCCGCAGGCUGGUCGAACAGGGCUGCCUCGUCCGCGAGAUCGAGCCGGUGUACCCGCCGGAGAGCCAGACCCAGUUCGCCAUGGCGUACUACGUCAUCAACUACUCCAAGCUCCGCAUCUGGGAGUUCGUGGAGUACGAGAGGAUGGUGUACCUGGACGCGGACAUCCAGGUGUUCGACAACAUAGACCACCUGUUCGACCUCGACAAGGGCAGCUUCUACGCCGUCAUGGACUGCUUCUGCGAGAAGACGUGGAGCCACACCCUACAGUACAAGAUCGGCUACUGCCAGCAGUGCCCGGACCGGGUGGCGUGGCCGGAGCGCGAGCUGGGCGUGCCCCCGCCGCCGCUCUACUUCAACGCCGGCAUGUUCGUGCACGAGCCCAGCCUCGCCACCGCCAAGGCCCUUCUCGACAAGCUCGUCGUCACCGACCCGACCCCGUUUGCUGAGCAGGACUUUCUCAACAUGUUCUUCAGGGACGUGUACAAGCCCAUCCCGCCCGUGUACAACCUCGUGCUCGCCAUGCUCUGGAGGCACCCCGAGAACGUCGAGCUCAAGAAGGUCAAGGUCGUGCACUACUGCGCCGCGGGUUCGAAGCCUUGGAGGUUCACCGGCGAGGAGGCCAACAUGGAGAGGGAGGACAUCAAGAUGCUCGUGAAGAAAUGGUGGGACAUCUACAACGACGAGGGCCUCGACUACAAGGCCGGCGAUGAGACCACCAACCUGCUACGUGGAGCUCUUGUUGAGGCCGGCGCCGUGAAGUACUUCCCGGCGCCCUCGGCCGCGUAG